rnacentral:rRNA from 1 species
AGGGGAAUUUUGGACAAUGGGGGAAACCCUGAUCCAGCCAUCCCGCGUGUGCGAUGAAGGCCUUCGGGUUGUAAAGCACUUUUGGCAGGAAAGAAACGUCAUGGGUUAAUACCCCGUGAAACUGACGGUACCUGCAGAAUAAGCACCGGCUAACUACGUGCCAGCAGCCGCGGUAAUACGUAGGGUGCAAGCGUUAAUCGGAAUUACUGGGCGUAAAGCGUGCGCAGGCGGUUCGGAAAGAAAGAUGUGAAAUCCCAGAGCUCAACUUUGGAACUGCAUUUUUAACUACCGGGCUAGAGUGGGUCGGAGGGAUGUGGAAUUCCGCUUGUAGCAGUGAGAUGCGUCGAUAUGCGGAGGACCACCGAUGGCGAAGGCAGCCUCCUGGGAUAACACUGACGCUCAUGCACGAAAGCGUGGGGAGCAAACAGG